GACGAACGCUGGCGGCGUGCCUAAUACAUGCAAGUAGGACGCAGUUGCGAACGGGUGAGUAACGCGUAGGUAACUACCUAUUAGAGGGGGAUAACUAUUGGAAACGAUAGCUAAUACCGCAUACUAGUAGAUGGACCUGCGUUGUAUUGGCUAGUAGGUAGGGUAAUGGCCUACCUAGGAAACGAUACAUAGCCGACCUGGGUAGGUGAUCGGCCACACGUGGACUGGGAAACGGCCCAGAGUCCUACGGGAGGCAGCAGUAGGGAAUCUUCGGCAAUGGGGGUAACCCUGACCGAGCAACGCCGCGUGAGUGAGGAAGGUUUUCGGAUCGUAAAGAUCUGUUGUUAAGGAAGCGGUACCUAUUCAGAAAGCCACGGCUAACUACGUGCCAGCCUCCGCGGUAAUAC
rnacentral:rRNA from 1 species